rnacentral:lncRNA from 9 species
GCCGCGCGCCGCGCGCCGUCGAGGUCCCCGCGUCGCCGCCCUCUGCCUUUCGUAACUCGGCGCGGGGUCUGGGUUUGCAGGGCUUUGAAAACGAGCCCCCGGCGCCUUGCGCCCUCUCUUCCGGCGCUCUGGCCGCAGAUUCGGGUAGCGCCGGCCACCGUGGACCAUUUUUCUUUUUUUCCUGCUUCGCGGCGUUCCAGGAUUUUCUCUUCCGGGUCGCUCUGAGGCACGGUCAGGGGUGCCAGCAUUCCCGGUUUGGCAUUGAACCCUCGGACUCUGCAAACACCAUUGAGGGGAAGCCCCCUUUUGCGCGUGCGCCGCGCCUCCUGAGGCCGGGAGCUAAGUCGGGCUGGCAGGGCCAGGUGGCACAUAAGCUCUGCCUCUGGGUUUCUAUUUGGCGUCAUCCGUGUGCAGAGGCGGCUGAGAUUUCGGCAACACAACAGCCUGGCCUUGACUGCAGCUCCAUCCCCAGCUCGAAUGGAGCUCUUACCCACCCCGACCCCAGCUACAGCAUCCGGUGGAUGGGAGGGGCUGGAAUCAUGCAAACUUGUGCAAGAAAACCAUCAUACAUCACAGCGCGUGUCCUCAUCUUUCAACAAACAUGUAAUAAACACAUCAACCUGUUUUGCCACUGAAACUCAAGAGCUCAGAACUGUCAACUACUGUGAAAUCUUCUACAGUCAAGAAUGGGACUCUGCUUUACUCUCUGAUUUUAAGUUAAGAACCACAUGCUUGGAAGCUAAGUAUGAUCACCUCACAGCUAGGGAAAACUCAGAACUUCAUGCUCAUUUCUUCUUUGAUUCUUUUUUCUUUCUUUUUUCUUUAUUUUAUUUAUUUAUUUAUUUUUUGGUCUUUUUGCCAUUUCUAGGGCCGCUCCCGUGGCAUACAGAGGUUCCCAGGCUAGGGGUCUCGAAUUGGAGCUGUAGCCACCGGCCUAUGCCAGAGCCAUGCAACGCAGGAUCCAGAGCCACGUCUGCAACCUACACCACAGCUCAUGGCAACGCCAGAUCCUUAACCCACUGAGCAAGGCCAGGGAUCAAACCUGCAACCUUAUGGUUCCUAAUCAGAUUCAUUAACCAUUGAGCCACGACGGGAAGUCCUGAUCCUUUUUUCUUAUAUUGACUGUCCUUCUGGAAUUAUUUUCCUUUCUCUGAAGUACUCCCUUAUAAUUUCCUUUAGGACAAGAUUUUUGACAGUAGACUCUCGGUUAUUGUUUAUUUCUAAAUGAUUUUACUACUUCAUGAAGGUGGUUUUUCUGGUUAAAAAAGUUUACAUUGACAAUUACUUUAUCUUCACACCUUGAAGAUAUUAUUCCACUGCCUUCUGGAUUCUGUUUUUGAGGUGGAAAAAUCUGCUGUCAUUUUUAUUGUCAUUCCUUGUUAGGUGAUCCAUCCUUUCUUUCUGGCUGCUUUAUCAACCUUACCUUUGUAUUUGUUGUUUUUCAACUUUAUUAUAAUGUCUAGCAUGAAUUUGUUUUUCUUUUUCCUACUCGGAAUAUCUUGGACUUCCUAGAUCUGUAGAAUUCAUAUUAUCUAUUAGCUAUAAUACAUUCCAAGACAUAAUAUUUUAAAACAAUGUCUAUCCUUAUUUUUUCAAUUCUAUCUUUGUGGGAAACUGAUAAAUGCAUGAUAAACCUAUCAUGUAUGGUCCAUAUCUUGUAACCUCUCUUUUAUAUUUCUCAUCUUUCUAUGUAAUGUGGCAAUUUUUUUGCAUAUAUCUUAUGUUUCAUUGAUUGUUUUUUCAGUUAUACCUAAUCUGGUUGUGUAACUCUACCCUUUGAUGUAAAAAAAAAUCAAGUUCUCUUUAUGCUGUGAUCUGAAUGUUUGUGCCCCCCUAAAACUCAUAUAUUGAAACCCUGAGUCCAAAAGAUGAUGGUAUGAGGAGGUGAGGGCUUUGGAAGGUGCUUGAGUCAUGAGGGUGAAGCCCUCAGAAAUGGGAUUAGCACUUUAUCAAAGAAGCUCCAGAGAGAUCCCUACUCCCUUUUGCCACUGGAGGAUAUGACAAGUCUGUGAUCUGGAAAUGGGUGCUCACCCAGUCAUGCUGGAACCCUAAUUUUGAAUUUCCCGCCUCCAGAACCAUGAGCAACAAAUUUCUGCUGUUUAUAAGCCAUUCAUUCUGUGAUAUUUUGUUGUCACAGCCUUAAUGGGCUAAGGCAGCUUGUUAACUUGUUUGUUUUCAAUCUGAACAGAUAAUACAUUCACAUGAAUACAAGUUCAAAAUGUACCAAACAUUAUCCAGGGAACUCUCUUCCAUGUUCCCCUACUCCCUUCCCAGCCCGCUGCCCUCCACUGCAGUCCUCUGAAUUGUCAUUUCCAAUGACUGACUCUUGGCCCACAUGUUGCUGCUUGAACCUCAGGGCCAUUCAGUGGGCCAGUCACACCUCCUGUCUCUAGGGCACCACCCUCCUCUGUGCUCCCGGGCACUCCCCAAUCCUCCCCAGCCUCCCUUGCUAGGUUCUUCUUUCAUCACUAAUGUUAGUAUUGAAGAAGACCGGGGCUCACUCCUUGACCUUAUUCUCUUUUCUAUCUACACUAUCUCAUCUCUUACUGCUGGUUAAUCUCAUCAAGUCCAUAGAUUUAGAUGCCGUCUAUAUAUUCACAAUAGUCAAGUUGGUAUUUCCUGCCUAAAUUCUUCAUCCAAACUUGAGACUUCACCUGCUUGACACUUCCACUUGGAUAUCUAGUAGACAUCUCAAAACGAACAGGUCGAGGCGUUUCCUUUAUAGCUCAGUGGUAACAAACCUGACCAGGAUCCAUGCAGACAGGGUUUCCAUGAUCUCUGGCCUCGUUCAGUGGGUUAAGGAUCCAGCAUUGCCAUGAGCUGUGGUGAAGGUCCCAGACGCAGCUCAGAUCUGGUGUGGCUGUGGCUGUGGUGUAGGCUGGCAGCUACAGCUCCGAUUAGACCCCUAGCCUGGGAACUUCCAUAUACCACAAGUGCAACCCUAAAAAAACAAAAUAAAAUAAACAAACAAAAAAACCUAACAGGUCAAAAACAAGACUGUCGAUUUUCUCUCUCACAAAUCUGAUCUAAUAUUCUUCUCUAUUUUAGGGGAAGGAAAUUGUAUCCUUCCUGAUUCCCUGGCUUUAAGACCCACAUGCUGCUGAAAUCUUGGAACUCUUCACCUUUGACAUUUUUGGCAGUCUGUUUGGCCUAGAAUGAUAUCAUUUUAUUUUAACUUUAUUUUUCUGACUACUUAUGAUUUUGAGCCCAUGUAUGAGCUGUCUUUGGUUCUCAUAUGUGUAUUGCCUAAUCAUUUCCUUAGCCCAUUUAUUUGUCUCUUGGGGUAUUCCUAUUUUUGUCCUGUACCAUUUUGUGUUAUGAUGUAGAGCUCAGCGCCUGAUCUCAGGGUGCACUAUUUUAAGUUUCUAAAGGACAAGAUUGUGGAAUUUACUAUGAAAACCAACAUUAAUUAUUUGGGGGAACAGAAAGGCAUCUUCAUUGUUUCCACUUACAUUAAAUCUUUAGUGGCCCAACUUCCCAAUUAUCCAAGACCAUCUGAGCCGUGUGCCAAAGGAGGUGCCUAUUUCCCACUUCUUAGCAUUUUUCUUAGAAUGUGAGUCAAGCAGACGGCUUUCAGACGUCCUGCUGACUGGGAUUCUGGCUCGUUCUCAUGUCCCAUUUCCUGCUCUUCUCCUGUUCUGAUUUCUAAGCAGGUGUCAACCCCAAAUCAGAAUAAUUAUAUGGAUCACAGAACUAAUGUCCUCAAUUCUGCUUUGUGACACUUGAAAUGGAAUAUUCUCGACUAAUAGUUUGAUGAGAAAAACAUCUGUUGGGUUUACAUUCCUACUGAUGCUGAAUGACUUGAAAACUUCUCUUGCAGCUUGUUGUCUGGAUUCUUAGGGGAUUAUCUUGGGAAUCACCUUCUAGCAUAGAUCCUUGCGCUCCACCUGGUAUAUGCUCAGAGGCAGUGUUUGCUGUCUCUCAACACAUAGUAUCUAAAUGCUGCCAAACCUCAGGACUCAAGAAAACAUCUGGAGGGCUUGGUGGGUUCUUAAGCAGUCAAUCAGAUGAGUUAAGGUAUUACAUUGAGAUGGCCCCAGUGAUUGAGUGCUGACUUAUUCGCAGGUGCAGGGGUGGAGUGGUGUAGAAAAACUAAAAUUAAGAAGAAGCUUGAUGGAGGAUAGUGUGAGAAAAAGAAUGGGUACAUGUAUGUGUGUGACUGGGUCACUUUGCUGUAUAGUAGAAAUUGACAGAACACUGUUAACUAACUAUAAUGGAAAAAAUAAAAA